UCAAAAUAUUACAUACAAGUGUAUGUUAUAAAUAAUCCUCAAGUAAACAUACAUGUAACUACCACCAUCUGGACAUUUCACAUCAAGUUAUAAAACGCUUUCAUCAUCUGGACGACUUCUUGCUUCCCCUCCCGCCCCCCUCUCUCGGCUGUUUCCCCUCCUCCAGCCCCUAAGGACUGGUGUCUUUUAUUUCCCCAGACUUACUCAAAGCCUUGACUUGGUUUUAUGCUUUGCUCUUUAUUGCACAGAUCUGAACAAGGACGGCAGCUGGGGUGACAUUUCAUUUAUCCAGAGAUGCAAGGGUGCUGAAGCUUGACAUCCUUAUUUGCCAUCAUGAAAAGCAUUUGAAAGGGGGAAAGAAGAAAAUUGAUUGCAGAAAACCUUAGAUUGAUGAGCAUGAGUAAGGGCUGCAGGGGGCACUGGAAAAUUCAGGUGCUGUCUCUUUUCUAUGAAUUCUGUCUUUCCUCCCUGAUCUCGAAGACUCUUCAGUAAAUAGAACACAUCCACUUUACAUACUAAGUGACAGAAAAACAAUUUUCCAUGACAUGAGGACCUCCAGUCUAUAUUUUAUUUCUUGUGGUAAAAUAUACAUAACAUUUACCAUUUUAAACACUUUUAAGUGUACAAUUCAAUGACAUUGAGUACAUUUACAUUUUUGUGCAAACGUCAUAGUCAUCUAUCUCCAGAACUUUUAAUCAUCCCAAACAGAAACUCUGCACCUAUUGAACAUUAACCCCCAUUCCUUCCUCCCUCCAGCCCCUGGUAAUCUCUAUUCGACCCUCUGUCUAUAUGGAUUCGCCCGUUCUAGGUACCUCAUGUAAGUAGAUUCAUAUAAUAUUUGUCCUUUUAUAUCUGGCUUAUUUCACUUAGCAUAAUGUUUGUGGUUCAUUCAUGUAGUAGCAUGUGUCAGAACUUUAUUCCUUUUUAGGCUUGAAUAAUAUUCCAUUCUAUGUAUAUACCAUAUUCUGUUUAUUCAGUCAUCUGUUGGUGGACAUCUGAGUUGUUUCCACAUUUUGGCUAUGGUGAAUAAUACUGCUGUGAAUAUUGGCGUCUGUUUGAUUCUCUCUCUUCAUUUCUUUUGGAUAUAUACCUACGAGUGAAACUGCUGGAUCAUAUAGUAAUUCUGUUUAAUUUUUUGGGGAACUACCAAAGUGUUUUCACAGUGACUGCACCAUUUUACCUUCCCAUCAGAAAUGUACAAAGCUUCCAAUGUCUUUACAUCCUUACCAAUAUGUUUUUUUUUUAAAUUUUUUGUUUUUUGGUAAUGGCAAUCCUAUAAGUGUGAAAUCGUAUCUUGUUGUGGUUUUGAUUUGCAUGUCCCUAGUGGCUAGUGACAUUGCACAUCUUUUGGUACUUAUUAGCCAUUUGUAUAUCUUCUUUGGAGGAAUAUCUAUUCAGAGCCUUUGACCAGGUUUGAACUGGGCUGCUCAUUUGUUUUAAUUAUAGGACCUCUUUAUAUAUUCUAGAUAUUAAUUCCUUACCAGAUAAAGUUAUUUGCAAAUACUUUCUCCCAUUCUUUGGGUUGCCUUUUCACUCUCUUGCAAGGGUCCUUUAGGGCACAAAGUCUUCAAUUUCAGUGAAGUUCAGUUUAUCUAUUUUUUCUUUUGUUGCUUGUGCUUUUGGUGUCAUAUCCAAGAAAUCAUUGACAAAUGCAAUGUUAUAAAGCUCUUGCCCUAUGUUUUCUUCUAGGAGCUUUAUAGUUUUAUGUCUUUAUUCCAUUUGAAUUGAUUUGUACAUAUAGUAUAAGGUAAGGUAAGAUAAGGUAAGGACCCAGUUGGUUCUUUAGCAGGUAGAUAUCCAGUUUUCUCAGCACCAUUCAUUGAAGAUGCUGUCCAUUCCCCAUUGAUGGUCUUGGCACCAUUACUGAAAAUCAAUCAACAUUAUACGUAAGGAUUUUCAUUCUACUGACCACAAGCUGGUUCAGAGAAAUUGGUCUCAGAUAGUGCUAAAAAAAAGUUAUUACUGAACCACAGCAACAAGUACAUUUUCUUGGGUAAAUACUAUUGUUUUUCAGUCUACAUAAUACUUUGAAUUAGAAUAUCUUGAACAUGCUUUUAUCCAUUUGUUAUUGAUGUCUACUUGUUUAUGAUGCUAUCAUUUUUCUAAAUAUGACAGUCUCAAUCGUUUCUCGUCCUGCAAGGUGAACAGUGAUUUCUUCACUAAAUAGUCCUGAAAUUCUCAGAGGAUCACUUAGAGGGGGAUACGGUUUUUGGAAUGCUGUGACCUUGGUCUGUGGAGAAGGAGGCGCCUAGGAGUUGGCACCAAAUGACUGCUGGAAGUGUAAUUUACAUGAUAUUGGCAUUAUUGUGACUCUAUAUGCCUUUUUUCCUUGAGACAUCUUUCGGGCAUUUGAAAGCCCAUGUUUACUGCAUCCUAAUGUUUUCAGAUUGUUUUCUUAAAUGCUGUCCUAUAUGGUUCUCAUGACCUCUCUGUGAAGUAACCCAGUUAGAUAUAUAUUUUAUUAGUUAAAGACCUGAGACUCACAGAAGUUGAGUGGCCAUGUCCAAAGCUCAUAGCCAGGAAGUGGAGGACCUGGGACACGCGUCCUGGCUCCUGACCCUGAGGCUCUCCUUUUACAGUGCACACCAGAAUACAGCACCUGCUAUUCUGACUUACAUCAUUUCUAGAAAUGGGUUAUUGGCAGAUGAGACACCGUCUUCUCCCUCCUCAUCAUGGAAGGCUGAGUAUUAGGCAGAAUGAUAAAGGUGAACUCUACAGAGACUAAGUGCAAUUUUUCUUGGUACAUUCCCAUUGUAAGUAGCAGAUUAAGAACUACCAGAAAAAAAUAUAGCCAUGGAGAAGGAAAAGCUUUGCUCUGAAAGACCUUCUCCCCACAGUGAGAAUUCUGGUUUCACAUGGAAAUGGCAGGCAGUAGGAUGGCCAUUCUCAUAAAUCAUGUCAUGUGGUGAAGGCAGAGGCCUCCUUAUUUAGAACAAUGUUUUAAUUUCCCAGAUGAACACACCAAGGACCAGGGAAGGAAGUGAUUUCCUCAUGGUCAAGCUGCUGAAUAAAGACAGAUCAGGCUCUGGCACCCUACCCUCCUACUUUCAGCUAACAAACCUUGCUAGGGAGCAUUCCUAUUUCACAGCUACCUUCUCUAGCAUCCUCAUUUUUGCACAUGUGCUGUCAUUUUUUUAGAUAUCAGGAUGAAUCCUCAAUCAUCUUGAAUAAAAAAUACGAACAUAGACUUGUUCACCAAAUUGUCCUGAAAUUCUUUUCAUAAAAGGAAACAAUUUGAAUCUUGGAUGGAGUAAACUGAGUGCAAAAAGAAGGAAAAACUGCUUCAGACAACAGGUCACUGUAUUAGGCCAUUCCUGCAUCGCUGUAAAGAAACACCUGAGACUGGGUCAUUUAUUAAAAAAGAAGAGGUUUAAUUGGCUCACGGUUCUGCAGGCUUUAUUGGAAGUAUGAUGCCAGCAUCUGUUCAGCUUCUAGUGAAGCCUCAGGGAGUUUUUAAUCAUGGUGGAAGGCAAAACAGGAAUAGGCACAUCACAUAACAAAAGCAAGAACCAGCGAGAGAGAGUUGGGAGGGAGGUAUCCCACAUCUUUAAACAACCAGUUCUCGCAAUAACCCACUAACAGAAAGACAGCACCAAGCCAUGAGGGAUCUGUGCCUAUGAUCCGAACACCUCCCACCAAGCCCCACCUCCAGCACUGGGGAUUAUGAUUCAACAUGAGAUUUGGCAGGGACAAAUAUCUAAACUAUAUCAGUCAUUUAAUAUGCUAUAUAUAUAUAUGAAUAUUAAAACAGGAAGAAAUCUAAGAAAACAUAAUUUAUUGAUUGCCUAAUUGAUACAAUUACAAUGAAUGAUAAUUCAUUGGACACAUUUUUAUUGCAUAUUAGUAUGUGCUAGGCACAGUGAUUAGUACUAUGAAUAUAAUGGUGAGCAAAAAUGAGCAUGGUCCCAUCUUCAUGAAGCAUAUAGUCUGGUGGCAAAGAUAGGCAUCAAACAGAUAAACAUAUAAAUACAUGUAACAUUAAUGCUUUAAUAUGUUUUAUGAUGAAGAAGUAUGUGGUGCUGUGAGGGAAUUUAACAGAAGAGAGAUCCCUGGAUUUGUAAUUCAGUCUUUCCUGUAGUUGGAUGGAACUUGGAAUAGCCAAGGAGUUGAAAGAAGACCAGUGCAGUUGGAAUUCAGAGAACAGUAGGAGCAUGACGUGAAUAGAGGAUGUAGGAUGGGUAGGAGCUGCAGGGCGCAGGAUAUCUUAUGGAGGAUAAGGAUUUGAUCUUUCUCCAAAGAGCACUGAGAAACCAUUAAAUGACUUGGAUGGGGCACAGAGAAGAUGUGGUGGGAGCAGUUAUCAUAUUAAUCCUUUGAAAAUAUAUAUAUUUUUUGACUGCAGGAUAAUAGGCUGGAAGAUGGCAAGAACAGGUGCAGGGAGAUCUGUUAAGUGCUUGUUGAAGUAGCCUACGCAGGACACAAUGGUGGUUUGACUUUGUGAUAUGGGAAUAGGGAAGAAGAGAAAUGGAUAUAUUUGAGAGGUAUUUAGAGGUUAAGUGGACUGGAUUCGGUAAUGCAUAAAAUCUGGAGAGGGAGGGAGAGGAAAGCACCAAGAAUGACUCCAGGUCUCUUAAAUUGCACUACUGAAUUGACGGCAGUGCCAUUCAUUGGGAUAGACAUUGGAAGGGGAGUGGCUCUAAUGCAGGGAGAGAAUGCUUGGGCUUAGACUGCAAGGUAAAUUUGAGGCAUCUGUAAGUAGAAAUGGAGAUACAGUACAGGACCGGAACUCAGAAGAUGGUGUUAGCUGGAGAUAUAAAUUUGGGAUUUAUGAAUGACUGGCUAUUGAAGCCAUAAACAUGGACAAGAUGGACAGAAAGUACAGAGAGAGAAGAUAAGAGGGCCCAGUGUGGAGUCUUUGGUAUUAUAAGUCUUGAUGGCCUAAACUGAGAGGAUGAGUAGGUGAAGGACACAGAGAAGGCGCAGCCAGAGAGUAGAAACCAUGAGGUGUGAUGUGAUGGUGACCAAGGGAAAAAGAUUGUGUUGAAGAAGAAAGCAGUGGUCUUCUAAGUCAAAUCCUGCUUAGAGAUUCUGUAAGGUGAGGACUAGAAAAGAUACAUUGGACUUAAUGGUGUGAAGAUCAUUGAAGAGGCUUAGCUACAUCAGUGGAUAGCUGUGAGGGGAAGUCUAUUGGGAGUGAGAUGAAGAAUGAACAGGAGGAAAGCAAAUGGAACUAAAGUGGUACUUAUGGUCUUCCUUUGUGCAUCUGCUCAUGAAAUGUGCCCCAGGCUGGGUGCAAGAACAGGUCCCAGAAAAACCUGUGAUUUGCAGUAUGACCACUGCUAAAUCACCUAACCCUUCCCUGCCUCAGUUUCCUUAAUCAAUUCUAUGGACUAUAACCCGGGCUCAUGAGGGAUAGAAGAGCUUUGGAAAUCCAAGCUUAAAUUAUUCCUUAAAUUCACUAAGCGCCAAAUGGCAAUUAUUUUAAAAACUAUUUUCCUGUUAAAGAUGUGUCCUCCCUCACACCUCAAGAAGAUUUUUGGUUUAUUUUUGUUUGUAUUAGAAGGGAUAUUCCCCUUUUCCAAAUCUGGUCAACAAUAGAAAGUCCUUAUCUAUGUUCUCUUGUGAUCUUGGUUUAGGAGAUAAUAUCAAAUCUCCCAUGUAUGUAUUGGCUAGUAACGUAUUUAUUUACCCUUAAGACCUAUAUUGUUUUUAUAAUCCUAAGGCUGAUGUGAAAGAGGAGAAAAACCUGUUUUUUGUUUGUUUUCUAAAUGAUCACUAGGUACACUAGAGAGGAUUAUCCUUCAACAAAUAUGCCACAGAGUUGAAGGAGGUGAUCAGGAAUCCCUUAGAGUCUUAGAAGCUCUCACAAUGUGACUGAUUCCAUAUGUUUAAUGAAGCUCUUAAAAAUCCAGACAUCCAACAAGAGACCAAUAGGAUACACUGAUGUUUUAUGAAUGGGGCCAGGACCAGCCUGAGUGUGGAGCCUCGUGGGCUGAGUUUCCCCGGGAUUCAGAGCCCUGAGGUUGAGUUUUCUACUGGUCAGCUGGAUCAGUUCAGCUGCUAUAAAGAGACAGUGCCCGGCCACCCAUACAGCAUUCCAUUGUGGCAGACAAUGGACUGGUGAAAUGCAACGUAGACAGUCUGAGGACCCUGUGCAAUGGAAACUCCAAUUGAAAUUGUACAUAGUCACUAACAUUCUACCUAUUCAAGGGGGCUGAAGACAGAGUCUAAGAAAAAGCUCUGAAGCCAGAGCACUGUUGCAGCCUCGGCCUCAUUUUCCAACAGAAGUCUUUCAUAUAAUCAGAGGGCUAGAAAAGAAACAGAAAUACAUAUGCCGGCUGCUACAUUUUACAGAAGAGGAAAUGGAGGCACCCAGAGAUAAAGCCACUUAUACAAAAUCAUGGUGAGAUAAGGGUUCUCAGAGAUUGGUUGUGUGUAAGAGAAACCCAGUUGAACAAGGUGAGGGUCAAGGUAAGCCCAAGACCUCGGGGCAAGAAGUGCCAAAAGGAAUGGAACCAGGAGCUUAAAACCUUUGGAAACUAAGGUUUCUUAUUCUCCUUCUCUCUCUUUUCCAUAUGGUCUCUCGUAUUUGUUUCUCUGCUCAUCUCUUUACAUCUCGUUUUUCUCAAUAGCCCAACCUCUUCAUGAGCCAAAUCUGUUCCCCGUGUUCUCUCCCAGAUGAUGCCCCAGCAGAGAUGAAUGGUGGCCCUAGGCUGGAGCACCCCUG
rnacentral:lncRNA from 1 species